AACGAACGCUGGCGGCAGGCUUAACACAUGCAAGUCGAGCGCCCUUUUCGGAGGGAGCGGCAGACGGGUGAGUAACACGUGGGAAUCUACCCAUCUCUAGGGAAUAACUCAGGGAAACUUGUGCUAAUACCCUAUACGCCCUUUUGGGGAAAGAUUUAUCGGAGAUGGAUGAGCCCGCGUUGGAUUAGCUAGUUGGUGGGGUAGAGGCCUACCAAGGCGACGAUCCAUAGCUGGUCUGAGAGGAUGAUCAGCCACACUGGGACUGAGACACGGCCCAGACUCCUACGGGAGGCAGCAGUGGGGAAUAUUGGACAAUGGGCGCAAGCCUGAUCCAGCCAUGCCGCGUGAGUGAUGAAGGCCCUAGGGUUGUAAAGCUCUUUCACCGAUGAAGAUAAUGACGGUAGUCGGAGAAGAAGCCCCGGCUAACUUCGUGCCAGCCGCCGCAGUAA
rnacentral:rRNA from 1 species